rnacentral:rRNA from 1 species
AUUGAACGCUGGCGGCAGGCCUAACACAUGCAAGUCGAGCGGCAGCGGGACCUUCGGGUCGCCGGCGAGCGGCGGACGGGUGAGUAAUGCCUAGGAAUCUGCCUGUUAGUGGGGGAUAACGCGGGGAAACUCGCGCUAAUACCGCAUAUGUCCUACGGGAGAAAGUGGGGGACCCUCGGGCCUCACGCUAACAGAUGAGCCUAGGUCGGAUUAGCUAGGUGGUGGGGUAAAGGCCCACCAAGGCGACGAUCCGUAACUGGUCUGAGAGGAUGAUCAGUCACACUGGAACUGAGACACGGUCCAGACUCCUACGGGAGGCAGCAGUGGGGAAUAUUGGACAAUGGGCGAAAGCGUGAGCCAGCCAUGCCGCGUGUGUGAAGAAGGUCUUCGGAUUGUAAAGCACUUUAAGUUGGGAGGAAGGGCGCUCGGUGAAUACCCAGGCGUCUUGACGUUACCGACGGAAUAAGCACCGGCUAACUUCGUGCCAGCCGCCGCAGUAACAC